GACGAGGGAUCCUAGCGUUGCUCGGAAUUAUUGGGCGUAAAGCGGGCGUAGGCGGCUUGGUAAGUCAGAUGUGAAAGCCCUGGGCUUAACCCAGGAAGUGCAUUUGAUACUGCUGAGCUUGAGUGCGAGAGAGGUUAAUAGAAUACCUGGUGUAGUGGUGAAAUUCGUAGAUAUCGGGAGGAACACCGGUGGCGAAGGCGGCGACCUGGGUCGAUACUGACGCUGAGGUGCGAAAGCGUGGGGAGCAAACAGG
rnacentral:rRNA from 1 species